rnacentral:rRNA from 1 species
CACGUUGGAACCUGCCCAGAAGAGGGGGAUAACUACCCGAAAGGGUGGCUAAUACCCCAUAUACUCCGAUUUAUUCGGAGGAAAGCUUUCGCGCUUCGGGAGGGGCCUGCGCAACAUUAGCUAGUUGGUGAGGUAAAAGCUCACCAAGGCGACGAUGUUUAGCUGGUUUGAGAGGAUGAUCAGCCACACUGGGACUGAGAUACGGCCCAGACUCCUACGGGAGGCAGCAGUAAGGAAUAUUCCACAAUGGGGGAAACCCUGAUGGAGCAAUACCGCGUGCAGGAAGACGCUUUUCGGAGUGUAAACUGCUUUAUCUACCAAGAUUAUGACGGUAGUAGAUGAAUAAGGACCGGCUAACUACGUG